GAAACCUGCAGGAGGAAUGAGCUAGCACUCCGAGGGGUAGCAUUGGAUAGUUACGUCUACACGGGGGAAGCCGGCGAGUCACACGUAUGGAACUUAUCGGUAUUAAAAGGAUAGCCCGAAGAAAUUCGGAUUAAUACUCUAUAACAGUAGACAUCACCUGGUGUUUACUUGAAAGAUUUAUCGGACAGAGAUAGCCAUGCGUUAGAUUAGCUAGUUGGUAAGGUAACGGCUUACCAAGGCGACGAUCUAUAGGGGGCCUGAGAGGGUGAUCCCCCACACUGGUACUGAGACACGGACCAGACUCCUACGGGAGGCAGCAGUGAGGAAUAUUGGACAAUGGGCGCAAGCCUGAUCCAGCCAUCCCGCGUGAAGGAUGACGGCCUUAUGGGUUGUAAACUUCUUUUAUAUAGGAAUAAACCUGCUUACGUGUAAGUAGCUGAAGGUACUAUAUGAAUAAGCACCGGCUAACUCCGUGCCAGCAGCCGCGGUAAU
rnacentral:rRNA from 1 species